GAAAAAAGAAGUAGACAGAAUGAUGUAGGCACGGCCGGAUGCCGAGUUACUUAUAAAUAAGCCGGCCCCGGCGUUUUCCAUUAACGAUAAACGUUCGUCGAGCGAACAAAGUUUCCUCUCGAGAACGAGCUUGAAACGGCUCGCGAUUUUUUUCCCCGUACAGCUUCGAGUUCGCCCGCGUCGAUCCAUCGAGCAGCUGUGCGACAGACGGUGAAAAAGCAGCGCGAAAUAAGGGGACGCGAUUUGACGAUGCAGCGAUGUAAGGCGCUGGAUUCUGAAAGUUUGAAAACCGCUAAAAAAGUUGUUGCUGUAAAGAGAAAUAGGUCGCGGUGGCGCUGCGCGCAAAAUAAAAGAGCGCUCGAGUGUACCAGGCGAGUUCUAUUUCGUCUUAAUGAAGAUUUAUUCUCACGCUGGCGGUGUGAAGAAAACCCUUGAGCUACUGUGCCUCAAAAUUAUACAAAACUCUCUAUUCUUCUCUGAAAUUGUUCAAUUCAGAUUUUCCAAAAGCUUUCUUCGAUUGUAGGAUCAGCGUUUUGCAGAGACUUGAAACUUUCCUCCCGCGAAAAUGUGUACUCAAUUGUGAGGACGUCAUGAAUCGAGGACCAGGGAAUUGUUCUGUUUUCUUAGAGUUCAUCGUGUUUCGAAAUCUGAAUUGCUUACUUUAAUUGUGCAAAGUAAGGGAAGGGGGAGAAACGCAAGAAGUGAAUACAACAACGACGUUGUCGAACGAGAUUCCGAGCUUCUACGCGCGUCGCCGGCGAAUUUUUUCCGUCGUUGUAAUGGCAACAAUGUUGACAACAGGCUCAGGAAACGUCGCGGUAAAAGGGAAAAAGAAGCGAGCGCGCGCUGCUUGACAUACAAUGUGCGUUACGGGAGGAAUAACAGCGGCAGCGGCGUGAUAUUUCUUUACCCCUUUACAUCGCUCUCCGCUUUUGUAACACGAAUUUGCAAGUUUGGCAUCUUCAACAGAUCGUAAUGGGAACCACAGCAGAGUUAUGUGCUAAUUAGGUGUUGAUUUUAUAAUAUGAUUUUGCUGCCUCCAGCAGAAGACCGCGUUUUAAAAGGAUUCUACCUUAUAACAACAAAUAAAUAAACUAAUAACGACUGAAGGAGAGCAGAGGAAGAUAGCGACAUCCGAAGGACAUCAAAGAAGUGAGACGACAUGGUCACAUAAAUAUUGAAAAAAAUAUUUUUGUAUUUGAAACUAAAAUAUUCGGUACAUACGACUUGGUUACUUGGGUGUCAAAUAAAUUUGUCACUAAA